CGCGCUCACCGCGUCCAGGCGUCAGUGAGGGGCUAUCUCGAGGCGCGAGUGCACAAAAGGUAGCGCGAGUCUCUUCUCAGGCGAUCCAGAUAAGAGGAAAUGAGAGCCGGGUUUUCUGACUUCCAACUCAUUAGGGACCAGGUUCUUUUUCUUCAGGAUCAGGCACAGAGACUGACUGAAUGGCUCCAAUUAUCAGGAUUUGAAAACCCAGUAUCAGAAUCUACCACUUUGUAACAGGCCUGAGGGAGAGGGAAAAGCGGAUACCCACCUGUGUCGCUGUUUGCGUGCCAAGUCCAGGAACAGUCCAUACAGCCCUGCUGCAUCCCACGACGCUGUCACAAAGCAGGAGUUCAUCCGAGGCCAAGGUGUUGUCAUGAGAAUAUUCGUUAAAGUAGGGACGCUGACUUUGUUCUUGGGCAGAUUCUCUUCCUGUGGAGUAUCCAGCCUGUUUGCCUAGUUUUCCUGUUCUUCUGGGGUCUGAUCUCUAUCUGUUUUACUGCAGUCCAGUUACCAAAGUGGUAUAAGUAAAAUUGAAAGAAUUCUAAAUACCUUUUCCCCCCACGUUAGCUGCCUCACGUUAAUGUGGUCUUACGGUCUGCAAAUAAGUGUUUUGAUGAUUUGGCGACUGCAGUUACCCAUACUAGCUCUCCUACCACUCACUACUGACAGUUAAUUAUUAUCGAAUAUCCACCCACCCAGGGUGAGUUAUAAGUUAUACCAGGUGUUUUGGUUAAUAAUACUAAUGCAAUUAAUUUACUGUUUACUCUCUCAUCUUAAAGUAAUCAGCUGGUAAAAUAAGAUUGAUUGGGUUGGCCAGGUGCGGUGGCUCACGCCUGUAAUCCCAGCACUUUGGGAGGCUGAGGUGGGCGG
ensembl:lncRNA SFTA3 surfactant associated 3